AGCAUUAAAGAAAACCCAAUCGGGGCAGCGGGAAGCACUCCAGCCUCCUUGCAAGCUUGGGGUGCCUCAUUCUCUCCCGUGCCCCUUCUCCCAGCUGGGUCUGACCCCCGCCCCUGGCUCCUCAGUUCUGCUGCUCCCAGCUGCUCUCUCCAUCCCCCGGUGGCCUCUCUCUCUCUCUCUACCCUAUCUGCCUCAGCUUCCAGGUCUCUACUGUCCCUAGGAAGCACUGUGACCUCUGCUUUCCCCUCAAAUGCUGUGGAUCAAGCCUCCCCCAACCCCACCAUCCCCCCCCAAAGGGGGCUGCUGACCGAGAGGGCUCACUCAGCCAGUAACUAGGUCAGCUCUGCUGAGGAGAGGGGCGGCAUCGAGCUCAGGACCCACCCAGUUCUCCGGGAGACGGGGAGUCCACCCGCGGAUGGGAUGUGGAACGGGGAGCCUCUAAUGGCGCCUGCUGGUGAGGUGGGGUGCCUGUGGCCGCGCAGGAAAGGGGACCAGCUCCCACCUCGAGGCUCUGUCUGCCUCAGGGGCCCUGUCCCCCUUCCCGGCAGGUAGGCUCAAGGCUGAAGCUCAUGAGGACUCGACUCCGAAGCGGGGCUGCCUAGGAGCUGAGGGGGCCCCGCUAGGCUGUCCCCGGGCGCUGGGACGGGGAAGGGCUGCUUACUGCAGAAGGGUCUCCACCACGGCUUUCUGGUGGGCCGCCUCCUCGGGGCUGAGGUUCUCCAGCUCUUUGAGGAUGGGUGGCGUGAAGUCUUCCCCAUCGUCGUCCGUCUCGUCCUCGGAGCCCCGAGUCUCUCCCAGCCCAUUGGGCAGCUCAGCCAGCUCCCCUCGACCACCGCCGCAUGCCUCCCCCUUGUCCAGGGGGCCAUCUCCAGCCAGCAGAUAAGGAAAGCAAGGCAUUAAGAAGAUAAGGAACCUCAUCAGCUAAGGCAGAUUUAAGAUUUGAACUUGGAUCUCCAUGAUGCCAGAAUCUAAACCUUGACUAAAUAUUUGUUACUAUUACUUUUGUUGCUGUUGUUGUUCUGGGUAACUCCAACCCUCUGCUCACUGCCCUCGUCACCGCCGUGCUGAUUUCGCAGAGAGCCGGUUGUUAAAUAUUAGCCAGCCCUCCUUGAUGCUGUUCUUUCUACCUGAAACACCUCCCCGCUGCCAGUGAGCUCCAGAGACAAAAGCACCUGGGUCUGCGUUUCCCAAAGGCAAGAAUCUGGUGUCGCUUGCGUGUUAUUUGCCACGUCUGAGCACCGCUGCCUGUCGCAUUAUUUACCUAGCAGUUUUGCUCCUGUCAAUGCACGUUUAAAAAAUUAAACUUAGCGGGGAAAAGAA